rnacentral:rRNA from 1 species
UACCGAGGGGGCAAGCGUUAUUCGGAAUUAUUGGGCGUAAAGGGCGCGUAGGCGGCUUGGCAAGUGGAAGGUGAAAUCCCUCGGCUUAACCGAGGAACUGCCCUCCAAACUGCUUCGCUUGAGACCGGGAGAGGUGAGUGGAAUUCCCAGUGUAGCGGUGAAAUGCGUAGAUAUUGGGAGGAACACCAGUGGCGAAGGCGGCUCACUGGACCGGUACUGACGCUGAUGCGCGAAAGCGUGGGGAGCAAACGGG